UGUUAAAAUUUUUAUCCAUUUUUAGUGUUAAAAGUUGACCCUUAUGUUCGGUUAUUCAGUCAGUCCAGCAGUUUUUAACAAUAAAAAUGAAUGAAAUUUUUACCA
rfam:Gossypium raimondii Chr11_contig_1502, whole genome shotgun sequence.